CUUAUCUACUCGACAAGCAAUUCUAAAUCUCUUCACCCCUUCUUCGUCGUCUCACCCGCACACCCCUGAAACCCUCUUCCCCUCUUGCACCACCUUACACGCACCCUUCCUGUACUCUCUCCAUCUCCGACGACCGGAGAUGUUUUCCGGCCCGCACAACGAGUUCCAGAUGGGGAUGGUAUGGAGAACCACCACAGCGGGUGGCGUCGGAGCGUUACGGUAUCGACAGGGGAGCUCCGGCAGAGCUUCGAUAAGCGUCGGAGCCGGAGUGAGAGACGGUGGCAGCGUCCUGGUGGCGUCAAUUGACUGAAAAAGAUGACCAACUACGAUGACGACCGCAAUGAAAUCGGGUUUGGUAGACCAACUGGGAACGGGUAAUGUAUCUAGUCUUACCGAGCAAACCAAGGUGAGUUCACUCUUUCU